UACGAAGGGGGCUAGCGUUGUUCGGAAUUACUGGGCGUAAAGCGCACGUAGGCGGAUACUUAAGUUAGGGGUGAAAUCCCGGGGCUCAACCCCGGAACUGCCUUUAAUACUGGGUAUCUCGAGUUCGAGAGAGGUGAGUGGAAUUCCGAGUGUAGAGGUGAAAUUCGUAGAUAUUCGGAAGAACACCAGUGGCGAAGGCGACUCACUGGACACAUAUUGACGCUGAGGUGCGAAAGCGUGGGGAGCAAACAGG
rnacentral:rRNA from 1 species